rnacentral:misc_RNA from 1 species
ACGGGGGGUGCAAGCGUUAAUCGGAUUUACUGGGCGUAAAGAGCUCGUAGGCGGCAACGUAAGUUGGAUGUGAAAGCCCAGGGCUUAACCUUGGAACUGCAUUCAAAACUGCGUAGCUAGAGUAAGGGAGAGGAGAGUGGAAUUUCCGGUGUAGCGGUGAAAUGCAUAGAGAUCGGAAGGAACACCAGUGGCGAAGGCGACUCUCUGGCCUAUUACUGACGCUGAGGAGCGAAAGCGUGGGGAGCAAACAGG